AGAGUUUGAUCCUGGCUCAGACGAACGCUGGCGGCAGGCCUAACACAUGCAAGUCGAACGGGACCUUCGGGUCUAGUGGCGGACGGGUGAGUAACGCGUGGGAACGUGCCCUUUGGUUCGGAAUAGCCUCGGGAAACUGGGAGUAAUACCGGAUACGGUCGGAAGACGAAAGAUUUAUCGCCGAUGGAGGGGCCCGCGUCAGAUUAGGUAGUUGGUGAGGUAACGGCUCACCAAGCCUACGAUCUGUAGCUGGUCUGAGAGGAUGAUCAGCCACACUGGGACUGAGAUACGGCCCAGACUCCUACGGGAGGCAGCAGUGGGGAAUAUUGGACAAUGGGGGCAACCCUGAUCCAGCAAUGCCGCGUGAGUGAUGAAGGCCUUAGGGUUGUAAAGCUCUUUUACCAGGGACGAUGAUGACGGUACCUGGAGAAUAAGCCCGGGCUAACUUCGUG
rnacentral:rRNA from 1 species